rnacentral:lncRNA from 1 species
UCUGGUUGGUCCAGGGGAUGAACAGCUUGUAGUAGUGGUUGGCCUUCUCGGUCAGCCCCGUGGAGAAGUAGAUGGGCACCUUCAGGUUCAUGCGCUCCCUGGGGACCACCGGCCCAGUCAGCACAGUGGCCACAGGGGAGAAUGCUGCAGGGCAGGACUCGGCCGGGUCACCCCCAACACCCGUGUCUGCACAGCCCACGCACGGGCCAGGUUGAGUCCAGUCGCGACCACUUGUCCCAUUAAGCCCUGCAGCAGCCGGGCUCAGCGGAGAACCAGGAACCCCUACAAGAGCCGCACACGGUGGCGCUGACGGGAUGUCACAGGCUUCCUGGGGUCACACAGCACACGAGCGGCCCCCCAGGACAGCAGCAAGCAGGGCCAAGAUGCCACCGCUACGCUGGACAGGGCUGCCCACCAACUGGACUGUGUUCAGGCCGGGC